GCACAAUGUUGGGCACUCUGCUGGAGCUCAGUAUAUCAGAAACUUUCUGGCUUUUUAUAAUGGAGUCACACGCAAGCGGAAGCACUACUGGUCCAUAUAGUUUCCUUCAGUGACUUUUCCAGAAGAGAUAUAUUUUAUUUCCUGAACUCCAGCCGCGGCACACAAACCCAUUCAGCACACUCGCACACUCUCCGCUGCCGGACUUCACGCACGCGCGCUAACUCCUCCUCUCCGUCAGCUCCUGAGGCUCCGCCCUUCGAGCCGACCUUCUCCGACCGCCGCUCAGCCCAGCCCGAUGCCUUCCUGCUUUCACCUCUAAUUGGAUGCUGGCUUCCAUUGGCUCCGCCCUUCGGUGACGUAAUCUCACUUCCCCCCGUUUCACUGCGCCGAGGGGCGGAGCUGGGCGGAGCGACGGCGCGCUAUUGUCAUGGAGACGAGAAGCCGGCCGGAGCGGCAGCCGCGAGUCGGUUGCCACUGAGGCAAGGCUGAACUGCCCAGACCGCCGGAGCAAGAGGGAGCGGGGAGCCAGCCAGUGGCAGCCUCUAAGACAGCCAAGGGGCGGUGUACUCCUGGGCUCUGUCUAGGCACGGGAGGUCGCUGAGGAAGCCCCGGAGCGUCCACGCCCUGCUCGCUUCGCGCCCGCCUCUAGCGGCCUCGGCUCCUCAGCGCCCGCCCCCGGCUCCGCCCGCUGCUGCCGCAGCUCUCCGCGCUAACGGUCGGUAGCAGCCCGCGCGCGCCGCCCGCCGGGGGCUUGCGCCAGCCACGAGGGAGCGUCCGCGGCCUGCGCGCCGGCGCCGCGGGGGAGAGAAUCUACAGUUCAUAAUGAAGCUACUGUACUGCCUGUUGGAAGGAAGAGAUUCUGAAGAUAGGGAGAAAAAUGAUAGAGCUUUUUAGUCAUCAGAAGUACCUACUCUCUGAACUAUAUAUCUAUGGAGGAUAUUAACAGACCAAUAAAGGAUUCAUGGAGUCUAAUUAUAUAAUUAGAAAAUUGAUUCAGCUAUCGGUCUUUGAAAUUUCCUGUGGUCUGUUCAAUCUAGAUGCAAAGGACAUGGAAAAAUCAAGUGCUCAAGUGGUUUAAAUAUGUUUUGGAUGUUCCUAUUUAUAGACCAGUAUUUUCCCAAUUAAAUCCUCUGUUGUCAUACUCUUAUUGAUCACCAAUUUUACUUGAAAUGCUUAGUAUUUUAGAGUAUCACCAACAUUUUCUGUUUUAAAGUAUAGAAAAAUAAAAUCAAUUUUGCAUGUUGA